rnacentral:tRNA from 1 species
GCGUGUAUAGCUCAGUUGGUAGAGCAACUGACUCUUAAUCAGUGGGUCCGGGGUUCGAGCCCCCGUGCGCGUACCA